rnacentral:rRNA from 1 species
UGUAAAAUUUUAAAGGUCGAACAGACCUAAUAUUUUCAGCUGCUACACCAAAAUUAAAUUUUAAUCCAACAUCGAGGUCGCAAUCUUUUUUUUCGAUAAGAACUCUCAAAAAAAAUUACGCUGUUAUCCCUAAGGUAAUUUUUUCUUAUAAUCACUAUUAAUGGAUCAAGCAUUCAUAAAUUAAUGGUUAAUUAUAGAAAAAGUUUAUUUAAUUUUUCAAUCACCCCAAUUAAAUAUUAUUUAAAAUAAAAAAUUAUUAUUCCAAUAAAAUAUUACUAAAAAAAAUAUUAAACUCUAUAGGGUCUUCUCGUCUUUUAAAUAAAUUUAAGCUUUCUAACUUAAAAAUAAAGUUUUAUAUUAAUUAAAUAGAGACAGUAAUUUUUUCAUCAAACCCUACAUUCUAGCUUCUAAUUAAGAAACUAAUGAUUAUGCUACCUUAGCACGGUCAAAUUACCGCGGCCCUUUAAUAUUCAGUGGCAGGCCCGACCUUAAAUUAUUAUCAAAAGGCCA